AGUAGGUCUGGGGGUGGGGCCCUGGAUUUUCAUCAAAAUUGUAGAGCAUUUUAAGGUGAGUACCUGAGGGAGAACUUAAAGACAUCUUAUUUGGGGAGUAGUCCUUUUGAACUGUACAGCCAGAUGUAUUCUUCAGUCAGAUAAAAUUUAUGGGAGCCGGUGUCUUAUGCCUGACUCUUGGUAAUUUCAUACCUAAGAGUCUGAAAGUACAUGUGCCCAUGCCUAAAGCCUUGACUUUAAGAAUGUUGUCUUUUGAUUCUUCUAUCUUGAUUUAAUUAGGGGUGAAAUUUGGAAGUCUUAGUAGUGUAACUUUAAGAUGUUAAACAAAAAUCUCAAAAUGAAAAGCAAAUAUGGGCUACUGAAUUGUGAAACUGGCAUUCUAUUAUUAAAUCCUUACUUCAGGAGCUUUAAAAAAUACUGAAAGACCCCCAUAACCAGAGAUACAGAUUAAAAGAUUGAGGAUAGGACCUUAGCACUGUAGCUUUUUAAAGUUUCUAAUGUGCACCCAGGGUUGAGAAUCACUAAUGAGGGGGGUGAAAGCGCCUACAAAGGGGUUUUAGUGCCUUAGAAGUCAUAAGAAACCCAAUCUGUAUGAAAGCAGAUCCAUUUUGUAAGGAAUGAUUUCUCUCAAUAAGAACUUUAGAAGUAAUUGUGACAGUAAGAAGCAAGGACAGUCUAACGGCAGAGGCAACUUAAAUAACUCCAAAGCAGUUGGCACUAGAACAGAAUACUUGGAAUGACACCAAGCUUAACCAAGUCCAGCAUAUGUCCAGAGUGUUAAGUGUUUCAGUUACUGUAGCAUUCUGGGUGAGAAAUUGGUUGCUGAAAUCUUAAGACAGUGGCUCUCAAUCUUGGCUGCACAUUGGAUUCACCUGUAGGGUUUUAAAGCAUCCCAAAUGGUAACUAACAUGCAGCCAAACUUGAGAACUAGUUCUGCAUCUGCUGUACAAAGAUCUGAUUGACUGGUCAGAUACUGGUAGAACAGAACAAGUAAAAGAUUAAGAAUUUGAAACCAAUUUAACAUGUAUUGUUAUCGAAACAUAAAUAAAUAAAAAGGCCUGGACCAGCCUGGGCAACAUGGUGAAACACCAUCUCUACAAAAAAUUUUUAAAAAGUUAGCCAGGCAUGGUAAUGCAUGCCUGUAGUCCCAACUGCUCAGAAGACUGAGGUGGGAGGAUCACUUGAGCCUUGGAGGUCAAGGCUGCAGUGAGUCAUGAUCAUGCCACUACUCCAGCCUGGGCAACAGUGAGACCAUCUAAAAAAAGAAAUCCUUCCAUUGAAUGGAAACUUAAAAAAGUCCUUCAUAAGAUCAUGGCAUUAGCUACUUUAGCAAAAUAGUGUAAGAACAUUGGUUCUGAGUAAAAGUGACUUCUCUACCAGUUGUGAAUGUUAUUAUGCUGAUAAAACUGCCAAGAUAUAUUUGAUAGGCAGGGAUUAAACUCAUGGUUUGUCAAUGGUGUUUUUUUCCUAGUUUUAUUCUUUUUUUUUGUUUUUUUUAUUCUUAACAGAUGUUAAGAGGUAUUCAUAUUUGUUUCCUUUUGUGGUUUUAAUGAAGACAAUUUGUAAAGAAUGUAAUACUGUUAUGUGUAUGUUAAAUCUUGGUAAAUACUAAUUAGUUUCUUCAUUUGUAGACUUGUUUUGCAAUGACAUAUAUUUUUACUUAUAAG